AUUCGUAUCUGGGCCAGGCAUAGUGAGAC
rnacentral:piRNA from 1 species